AAAUGAUACUCUGGUUACUGUCACUGGAAGUAAAGUACCUCAUAGUGAGGAUGCUACUUUGGUUGAUUCUAAGAAUAAAAGAACUAAAAUUUCCUCCUCUGAAAACCUUGAACACUCUAGAGAGAAAGAUGGUGGGACUUGAUUCUAUAAACUGGAAAUCUUUUGAUCUUUUAGAUAAUUUUAAUAAUUCACUAGUUGAUA